CGGACGUCUCAGUUCGGAUUGCAGGCUGCAACUCGCCUGUAUGAAGUCGGAAUUGCUAGUAAUCGCGGAUCAGCAUGCCGCGGUGAAUACGUUCCCGGGCCUUGUACACACCGCCCGUCACACCAUGAGAGCCGGGAACACCCGAAGUCCGUAGUCUAACCGCAAGGAGGACGCGGCCGAAGGUGGGUUUGGUAAUUGGGGUGAAGUCGUAACAAGGUAUC
rnacentral:rRNA from 1 species